rnacentral:sRNA from 1 species
AACAAUAAUAUCUACAGCUGUUUUAACAAAGAAAACAUUCAAUUUCACAGACUUGUUCUUGUACUGGCUGUUGUUUCAAUUCUAUUGUGCGGCAUGUUUCUUGCUCUGGCCUCACACACCUUCUUCAACAGAUCUGAAAGUCAGGACUCACUCCCAUCAACAAGUACACCAAUAGCCUGUGUUGUAUGCAAACAUCUGAUCAAAAAUCUGUACGAUUUAU